GUCAUUACAGGUGACAACAAAAAUACAGCCGAAGCUAUUUGUCAUGAAAUUGGUGUAUUUUUGCCUUAUGACGAUAUCAGUUCAAGAAGCUUGACUGGAAAAGAAUUCAUGGACCAUCCUGAUCAAAGAAAUCAUUUAAGGCAAGAUGGAGGGCUGUUGUUCUCUAGGGCUGAACCAAGGCAUAAGCAAGAAAUAGUGAGGUUGCUUAAAGAGGACGGUGAAGUUGUAGCUAUGACAGGAGAUGGAGUGAAUGAUGCACCUGCCUUAAAGUUGGCUGAUAUUGGCAUAGCAAUGGGCAUUGCUGGGACAGAGGUUGCCAAAGAAGCCUCUGACAUGGUGUUAGCAGAUGAUAAUUUUAGCACUAUAGUUGCUGCAGUUGGUGAAGGCAGGUCCAUCUACGACAACAUGAAGGCUUUUAUCAGGUACAUGAUCUCCUCAAAUAUUGGCGAGGUUGCCUCUAUAUUUCUGACAGCUGCUUUGGGUAUUCCAGAAGGG
rnacentral:misc_RNA from 1 species